rnacentral:rRNA from 1 species
AACGAACGCUGGCGGCAUGCCUAACACAUGCAAGUCGAACGAGACCUUCGGGUCUAGUGGCGCACGGGUGCGUAACGCGUGGGAACCUGCCCUUAGGUUCGGAAUAACUCCCCGAAAGGGGUGCUAAUACCGGAUAAUGUCUUCGGACCAAAGAUUUAUCGCCUUUGGAUGGGCCCGCGUUGGAUUAGCUAGUUGGUAGGGUAAAAGCCUACCAAGGCGACGAUCCAUAGCUGGUCUGAGAGGAGGAUCAGCCACACUGGGACUGAGACACGGCCCAGACUCCUACGGGAGGCAGCAGUGGGGAAUAUUGGACAGUGGGCGAAAGCCUGAUCCAGCAAUGCCGCGUGAGUGAUGAAGGCCUUAGGGUUGUAAAGCUCUUUUACCCGGGAUGAUAAUGACAGUACCGGGAGAAUAAGCUCCGGCUAACUCCGUG